CUACGGGAGGCACCAGUGGGGAAUAUUGGACAAUGGGGGAAACCCUGAUCCAGCAAUGCCGCGUGUGUGAAGAAGGCCUGCGGGUUGUAAAGCACUUUCGGUUGGGAGGACUGCUUCUAGCACUAAUAUUGUUGGAAGUUGACGUUACCUUCAGAAGAAGCACCGGCUAACUCCGUGCCAGCAGCCGCGGUAAUACGGAGGGGGCAAGCGUUAAUCGGAAUUACUGGGCGUAAAGCGCGCGUAGGCGGCUAGAUCAGUCGGGUGUGAAAGCCCCGGGCUUAACCUGGGAACUGCAUCCGAUACUGUCUAGCUUGAGUACAGGAGAGGAGAGUGGAAUUCCACAUGUAGCGGUGAAAUGCGUAGAUAUGUGGAGGAACACCAAUGGCGAAGGCAGCUCUCUGGCCUGAUACUGACGCUGAGGUGCGAAAGCGCGGGGAGCAAACAGGAUUAGAUACCCCCGUAGUC
rnacentral:rRNA from 1 species